rnacentral:lncRNA from 1 species
GAGAAGAGCAUGGGUUGUGAACUCUAACAAUUCACAGUCUAGCGCUGCUCCCUUCCAGCUGCGUGGCUUUGGGAAAGCGCUUGGUCUCUAAGCCUGGUGUCCUCAUUUACAAUGUGAGAAAAAUAACACCAUGCCCUGAGGUUAUGAUGAGAAUUGAAUGAGAUAAUGUGCAUGAAGUAACUGAUAAAUAUUAUCAGUCUUACUCUGGUUAUAAUGGUUGCUAUUAUUUCUUCUUUAUAAUUAACUUCCCUGAAAUGGAAUUUCACCAUGAAUUAAAGCACUGUAGGAGGGGAAAGACAGAGAGAGUCAGAUGAGGGGAAGGAAAUUCGUUGGGUCUGCCCAGCCUAUAUUGUGAUUAUUUGAGAACAGCCCCUCCCACCAGAGUUGGUGCUCCAUAAAUGGCAGUUAUUAUUCUUGCUUUUUUUGUGAUUGCUGUUUAUGAGUUUCUGUUUUUGAGCCAUAUCAGUGCCCUUAACAUCUCCUUCUGUGUCCGAGCCAGAUGAUUGGAUCUUUUCCCCAAUCUCUACCCUCCUGUAACAGGAUUCUAGAUCCACAUUCUUUUCCAUGUAAAGUGCAUUUCCUCCCACCGUGGGCAGAGUGUGCUUUCUACAUGACUUGGUUUGGCCAAUGAAAUGUCAUCAGUCAUGACAUUUACUUAUGGUCUGGCUUAUUCUCUUACAUUCCUGAUAAUGUCUAUUGAACAUGUGUGUGCUGGGCAUUGAGCUAAAUGUUCUUACUGGAUCAUCACAACUGUGUAAGGCAGGUACUAUUUUCAUGCCAGUUUUUAGAUUAAAAACUGAGGCCUAGAGAGAUAAUUAACUUGCCCCAAGUCACACUGUAAUGGACCCAGGACUGAACCCAGGCAGUCAGCUUGCCUGACCAUGUCGCUUCACCAUGCUGCCUCACCGCUGGAGGAAGGUGGUAGAAAUUCCUUCUGCCCAAAGACACAAAAGGCAAGUGUGAAGAUUACACAUCUCUGCUCACUCCCCUUGCCACAGAGAGAAGAAACAUGACUAGUGGAGUCAAUGCGGCAGUGAGCAGCAGGGAUCCUGUCAUUUCUGAGCUGAAGCAUUUCAAUGUUUGUUUAGAACCCUCCACCAUUCUCGCCUGCCACAUGGACUGAGGAGGCUUUGUGUUCCAGAUGGCAAAGCCACAGGGUGGUGGUGUCUCUGUCUGUGUGGAUCGCUGAGCCAGGCCAUGAAGUGAAGCUGCCUUAGAAGUUACCCAGGCCUGCAGCAGGAGCUGAAAUUCAACAUAUUGCCCUAAGAAGCAUCCAAAGCAAUUGUGUAUCUGCAGAUGCUUAUUGUGUCUACUGGGAGAUGGGGUGAGAGUGGAGGCUUUUCUUCCUGUUGAAAGAAGAAAGAAGGUUGUUGGCAUCUGGACUCAUGGAGGAACCUGGAGGAAGAUGAUUGGAUCAUGGAAGCGGUUUCUCCCAUGCUGUUCUCAUGAUAGUGAGUGAGCUCUCACAAGAUCUGAUGGUUUAAAAGUGUGUGGCAGUUGCCCGCUUGUUCUCUGUCUCUCCUGCUCCACCAUGGUAAGACGUGCCACCUUCCCCUCCACCUUCUACCAUGAUUGAAAGUUUCCUGAGGCCUCCUAACCAUUCUUCCUGCACAGCCUGUGGAACUGUGAGUCAAUUAAACCUCUUUUCUUCAUAAAU